GCUUGCCUAAUACAUGCAAGUCGAGCGAACAGACGAGGAGCUUGCUCCUCUGACGUUAGCGGCGGACGGGUGAGUAACACGUGGAUAACCUACCUAUAAGACUGGGAUAACUUCGGGAAACCGGAGCUAAUACCGGAUAAUAUAUUGAACCGCAUGGUUCAAUAGUGAAAGACGGUUUUGCUGUCACUUAUAGAUGGAUCCGCGCCGCAUUAGCUAGUUGGUAAGGUAACGGCUUACCAAGGCAACGAUGCGUAGCCGACCUGAGAGGGUGAUCGGCCACACUGGAACUGAGACACGGUCCAGACUCCUACGGGAGGCAGCAGUAGGGAAUCUUCCGCAAUGGGCGAAAGCCUGACGGAGCAACGCCGCGUGAGUGAUGAAGGUCUUCGGAUCGUAAAACUCUGUUAUUAGGGAAGAACAAAUGUGUAAGUAACUAUGCACGUCUUGACGGUACCUAAUCAGAAAGCCACGGCUAACUACGUGCCAGCAGCCGCGGUAAUACGUAGGUGGCAAGCGUUAUCCGGAAUUAUUGGGCGUAAAGCGCGCGUAGGCGGUUUUUUAAGUCUGAUGUGAAAGCCCACGGCUCAACCGUGGAGGGUCAUUGGAAACUGGAAAACUUGAGUGCAGAAGAGGAAAGUGGAAUUCCAUGUGUAGCGGUGAAAUGCGCAGAGAUAUGGAGGAACACCAGUGGCGAAGGCGACUUUCUGGUCUGUAACUGACGCUGAUGUGCGAAAGCGUGGGGAUCAAACAGGAUUAGAUACCCUGGUAGUCCACGCCGUAAACGAUGAGUGCUAAGUGUUAGGGGGUUUCCGCCCCUUAGUGCUGCAGCUAACGCAUUAAGCACUCCGCCUGGGGAGUACGACCGCAAGGUUGAAACUCAAAGGAAUUGACGGGGACCCGCACAAGCGGUGGAGCAUGUGGUUUAAUUCGGAGCAGCCGAAGAACCUUACAAAUCUUGACAUCUUCUGACCCUUCUGGAAAUAGAUUUUCCCCUUUGAGGGAAGGAAUGACAGAGGUGGGAUGAGUGUGGGCAGGUUGGGUCGUGAAAGGGGGGGAUAAGUCGCGCUAAGAGCACAACCGUUAAACUAAGU
rnacentral:rRNA from 1 species